AAGGGUGGCUACAUGACGAUUGUAGAGGCU
rnacentral:piRNA from 1 species